rnacentral:rRNA from 1 species
AUGACUUCGCGGCCUAUCAGCUUGUUGGUGAGGUAAUGGCUCACCAAGGCGACGACGGGUAGCCGGCCUGAGAGGGCGACCGGCCACACUGGGACUGAGACACGGCCCAGACUCCUACGGGAGGCAGCAGUGGGGAAUAUUGGGCAAUGGAGGAAACUCUGACCCAGCGACGCCGCGUGAGGGAUGAAGGCCUUCAGGUUGUAAACCUCUUUCAGUAGGGAAGAAGCGAAAGUGACGGUACCUACAGAAGAAGCACCGGCUAACUAUGUGCCAGCAGCCGCGGUAAUACAUAGGGUGCAAGCGUUGUCCGGAAUUAUUGGGCGUAAAGAGCUCGUAGGUGGUUCGAUACGUCGGAUGUGAAAAUCAGGGGCUCAACCCCUGACCUGCAUCCGAUACGGUCAAGCUGGAGUUUGGUAGGGGAGACUGGAAUUCCUGGUGUAGCGGUGGAAUGCGCAGAUAUCA